UAACCCAGAGGUCCUCUUUCUUCAACAUGACAGUCUCAGAAGAUGCCCUCUUGGGCAGGAGCCACAGUUCUGGCCCUUCAGCCAGAUGCCUGGAUGCCAGGGUAGGACAGAAGGCUCCCCGCUGGGGCAGAUGCCAACAGGAGGGAAGGCAAGGCUGAACUACUUGUCCCCUGGUUAGAGGACAGAAACUGAGCUCAGGGCGCUUGGCAACCAGUGGUCCUGGCCCAACGCCUGUCCUCUGGGGCCCUGCUCCACAGGGGAGUCCCCUCCAUGGGAAUGGACCAUGGGGCCGCAUCACCUGGAUGAUGCCAUGGGAGCCAGGUACUGCCAGGAUGUACAACUUCCAGCACAAUAGCAGCUACCGUUCGCUGGAUCCUGCAAGUUCCAAGCAAGAGGACAAAGGCAUGCUGAGUGCUGCCUGGAAGAGCCCCAGCACCUCUCAGACUGGUCCCUCCCUCACUGCUCUCCAUCUGGGGGAUGGUACCUCCAUCUACCCCAAGGCUCAAGCCAGAAACCGUGAUUCCUCCUCUCUCAGCCCCCACAUACCAGCAGUCCUGAAAGGCCUAGACAUUCCACCUCUUUAAGUGUCUCUGGACGUCUUCCCAGGCCAAUGAACAGCUCCAGAAAGGCUAAUACCGUGAGAAAUGACCUUUCAGACCACCUGCUCAGUACCAAUGAGCCCAGGCCUGACCUGAUCUCUGGCACAGAAACACGUGUGUGCAGUGAUGACCAUCCCUCGCUAAGCACCCACUCCGCACCAGACGUGAAAGACAAUGUUUAAAUGCUGCUGGGAAGGAGGAAGCAGACAGGGAGAGCGUGCCGACCCAGGAUCCAGUGGACAGCGAUGGGCGCAGUCCCGCAGGAGGGGAGGGUCCGGGGACCAGCGGGGUCAGCAGUUACAGAGUAAGAGGGCUUAGCCUUGCAGCGAGCAGGAAGGGAACCACUUUAUUCAGCACCCAGGGGCCCGGCAGGCUCUGCAAGUUUUAUGUAAUUUUUACGCAAGUCACUCAUCAUCUCUGAGCCUCUGUUUUCUCAUCUGCAAAAUGGUGCCAGGGCCCACGGGUCUGUGUGGACAGAAUGUGAUGAGGUCUGUCGAGGGCGUGCACAGACAUGACGGUUGGUGGGUCCUGCGUGGGAGGCAGCUGCUGCUCUCACUUGAAGUCUUAAAACAAUGAUGUGGGGGCACCUGUGUGGUUCAGUCAGUCAGGCGUCUGACUCUUGGUUUUGGCUCAGGUCAUGAUCUCACAGGUUCAUGACUCGAGCCUCAUGUUGAGCUCUACGCUCAGCGCAGCACUUGCUUGGGACUCUCUGUCCCC